rnacentral:lncRNA from 1 species
AUCGACAUAACUACAAAAUAACUAUAUUUAUAAGCUGUAGGUAAUAACAACUGCAAUUUAUACACCGAUUUAACAGAGCUAGUCUACAUAAGCAUUAAUCUACACACAAUACCUACAUAAUUCUUUAAAAAGAAACAGUAAGAACUAAAGAAUGACUACAAAAUAAUUAUAUUUGUAAAAUUGUAAAAAAUAGCCGGUUACGGACUAUCAUCACUACGACGGACUUGGCAGAGAGCUUGGAGAAGAUUAGAAGAGUAGAUCUGCUGCUCGUUUUGAGUUCUCCACCUCGAUUGAUCAAGGCUAGCGGCUGGAACUAGCUCUGCCUCAACUUCCUAUAUCUCUUGGAACUAUAUCCGACAUAACUUCCUAUUGCAAUGGAAUCCAACUCCGCCAUCCACUCGCUCAUAUUCCUUCCAGCUAGAGGCAUAACUUCCACACAUUUUCAGUCCGGCGUAUCAGACAACAAUGAAGCAUAUCUCCUUUCAUUUUGCAGAGAAUAAGCAUCGAUUUCUCGGUUGAAAGCCAUAAAUACCUCAUCUUCAAAAGCAACAUAGAGAAAGAAGGAGAGAGUGAGAGGUGAAAAAGAAUAAUAC